rnacentral:sRNA from 1 species
GACUACGCCCAGGGGGUGGAAAUCGACUGCAUUUUGGGAAUUUCCAAUGAGUUUGUGGUGCUCCUGGACCUACGCACCAAGGAGGUGGUAUUCAACUGCUACUGCGGGGAUGUCAUUGGCUGGACUCCAGACUCCUCCACACUCAAAAUCUUCUAUGGACGAGGGGACCACAUCUUUCUACAGGCGACAGAGGGUUCUGUGGAGGACAUAAGGGAGAUCGUGCAGAGACUGAAGGUGAUGACCAAUGGCUGGGAGACGGUGGACAUGACGCUGCGGCGGAACGGGCUCGGGCAGCUGGGCUUCCAUGUGAAGUACGACGGCACGGUGGCCGAGGUUGAGGACUACGGGUUCGCCUGGCAGGCCGGCCUCCGGCAGGGCAGCCGACUGGUGGAGAUCUGCAAGGUGGCCGUGGUCACAUUGACCCACGACCAGAUGAUCGACCUGCUGCGCACCUCUGUCACUGUGAAGGUGGUCAUCAUUCCGCCUUUCGAGGAUGGCACGCCCCGGAGGUAAGGGCCUCCACCUUUCAGCCAGGUGGUGGGUGGCAGCUCCUAGAUCGCUGGCAUGA